rnacentral:other from 7 species
AAGAGGUAAUCCCCAACAGCAGCAGACUUUGAAACUUUAAACAGACAGGUCUGAGAGCCCGAACUCUCCUUUUCCUUUGACUUCAGCCUCCAAGGAGUUCCACCACUUUGGCGUGCCGGCUUCACUUUCAUUAAGUGAAAGAGAGGUGCCCAGACAUG